UACGUAGGGUGCAAGCGUUAAUCGGAAUUACUGGGCGUAAAGCGUGCGCAGGCGGUUCGUUGUGUCGGUGGUGAAAUCCCCGGGCUUAGCCUGGGAAUGGCCAUGGAAACUGGCGAACUGGAGUGCGGCAGAGGGGGGUGGAAUUCCGCGUGUAGCAGUGAAAUGCGUAGAGAUGCGGAGGAACACCGAUGGCGAAGGCAGCCCCCUGGGCCAAUACUGACGCUCAGGCACGAAAGCGUGGGGAGCAAACAGG
rnacentral:rRNA from 1 species